rnacentral:rRNA from 1 species
UACGAAGGGGACUAGCGUUGUUCGGAAUUACUGGGCGUAAAGCGCACGUAGGCGGAUUUGUAAGUCAGGGGUGAAAUCCCGGGGCUCAACCUCGGAACUGCCUUUGAUACUGCAAAUCUCGAGUCCGAUAGAGGUGGGUGGAAUUCCUAGUGUAGAGGUGAAAUUCGUAGAUAUUAGGAAGAACACCGGUGGCGAAGGCGGCCCACUGGCCCGGUACUGACGCUGAGGUGCGAAAGCGUGGGGAGCAAACAGG